CCUACGGGAGGCAGCAGUGAGGAAUAUUGGUCAAUGGACGCAAGUCUGAACCAGCCAUGCCGCGUGCAGGAAGACGGCUCUAUGAGUUGUAAACUGCUUUUGUACGAGGGUAAACGCAGAUACGCGUAUCUGUCUGAAAGUAUCGUACGAAUAAGGAUCGGCUAACUCCGUGCCAGCAGCCGCGGUAAUACGGAGGAUUCAAGCGUUAUCCGGAUUUAUUGGGUUUAAAGGGUGCGUAGGCGGUCGGAUAAGUUAGAGGUGAAAUCCCGAGGCUCAACUUCGGAAUUGCCUCUGAUACUGUUCGGCGAGAGAGUAGUUGCGGUAGGCGGAAUGUAUGGUGUAGCGGUGAAAUGCUUAGAGAUCAUACAGAACACCGAUUGCGAAGGCAGCUUACCAAGCUACUUCUGACGUUGAGGCACGAAAGCGUGGGGAGCAAACAGGAGUAGAUACCCCAGUAGUC
rnacentral:rRNA from 1 species